AAAACUUUCAACAACGGAUCUCUGGUCUGGCAUCGAUAAAGAACGCAGCGAAAUGCGAUAAGUAAUGUGAAUUGCAGAAUUCAGUGAAUCAUCGAAUCUUUGAACGCACAUUGCGCCCCUCGGUAUUCCGGGGGGUAUGCCUGUUCGAGCGUCAUUA
rnacentral:rRNA from 1 species